rnacentral:rRNA from 1 species
GCCCAGACUCCUACGGGAGGCAGCAGUGGGGGAUAUUGCACAAUGGGGGGAACCCUGAUGCAGCGACGCCGCGUGGGUGAGGAAGUACCCCGGUAUGUAAAGCCCUUUCGGCAGGGAAGAAAAUGACGGUACCUGGCGAAGAAGCCCCGGCUAACUACGUGCCAGCAGCCGCGGUAAUACGUAGGGGGCGAGCGUUAUCCGGAAUUACUGGGUGUAAAGGGAGCGUAGACGGCGAGGUAAGCCUGAAGUGGAAGCCCGCGGCCCAACCGCGGAACUGCUUUGGGAACUGUUUUGCUGGAGUAUGGGAGGGGUAAGCGGAAUUCCUGGUGUAGCGGUGAAAUGCGUAGAUAUCAGGAGGAACACCGGUGGCGAAGGCGGCUUACUGGACCAUAACUGACGUUGAGGCUCGAAAGCGUGGGGAGCGAACAGGAUUAGAUACCCUCGUAA